rnacentral:misc_RNA from 1 species
AACUUUUGGCAACUGAUCACUUGGUUCUGGCAACGAUGAAGAACGCAGCGAAAUGCGAUAAGUAAUGUGAAUUGCAGAAUUCAGUGAAUCAUCGAAUCUUUGAACGCACAUUGCGCCCCCUGGUAUUCCGGGGGGCACACCUGUUCGAGCGCCAUUUCAGCCCUCAAGCCCCGCUUGGUGAUGGGCCCCGCCUGCGGGCGGGCCCGAAACUCGUGGGCGUCGUCGUUCGGCUCCAAGCGUAGCAAAACCCUCGCUUGGGCGCCCGGACGGUGGCCGCCCGGAACGAAUUUUUACAAGGUUGGCCUCGGAUCAGGUGGGGAUACCCGCUGAACUUAAGCAUAUCAAUAAGCGGAGGCU